rnacentral:rRNA from 1 species
AAAUUGAAGAGUUUGAUCAUGGCUCAGAUUGAACGCUGGCGGCAGGCCUAACACAUGCAAGUCGAACGGUAACAGGAAGCAGCUUGCUGCUUCGCUGACGAGUGGCGGACGGGUGAGUAAUGUCUGGGAAACUGCCUGAUGGAGGGGGAUAACUACUGGAAACGGUAGCUAAUACCGCAUAACGUCGCAAGACCAAAGGGGGGGGACCUUCGGGCCUCUUGCCAUCGGAUGUGCCCAGAUGGGAUUAGCUUGUUGGUGGGGUAACGG